rnacentral:rRNA from 1 species
GACGAACGCUGGCGGCGCGCUUAACACAUGCAAGUCGAACGGAAAGGCCUGCUUUCCCUUGUGGAUUGCGGGUACUCGAGUGGCGAACGGGUGAGUAACACGUGAGUGAUCUGCCCCCAACUUGGGUAUAAGCCUGGGAAACUGGGUCUAAUUCCCGAUAGGACUGCAGGGUGGUGCCUGUGGUGGAAAACGAUUUUCUAGUGGUUGGGGAUGAGCUCGCGGCCUAUCAGCUUGUUGGCGGGGUAAUGGCCUACCAAGGCGGCGACGGGUAGCCGGCCUGGGAGGGGGGACGGGCACAUUGGGACUGAGAUACGGCCCAGACUCCUACGGGAGGCAGCAGUGGGGAAUAUUGCACAAUGGGCGGAAGCCUGAUGCAGCGACGCCGCGUGGGGGAUGACGGCCUUCGGGUUGUAAACUCCUUUCGACCGCGAGGAAGCCACCUGGUUGGAAGGGUGGUGACGGUAGUGGUAGAAGAAGCACCGGCUAACUACGUG